GCAAGGUAGCAGACCUCUGUAGUCCCAUGUACUUGGGAAGCAGGAGUUUUCAGCUGUCCCGUGCUCUGCCAAUCGGGUGUCCACACUAAGUUUGGCAUUGAUGUGGUGACCCCCUAGUACUAGGGAACCGCCAGGUUGAAUAAGGAAGCGUGAACUGGUCCAGGUGUGAAAUGGAACAGGUCUGGACUCUCAUGCUGGCCCCCAGUGGGUUGCACCUGUGAAUACCCACAGCACUGGAGCCUGUGGAGAGACUC
rnacentral:sRNA from 1 species